AACGAACGCUGGCGGCAUGCCUAACACAUGCAAGUCGAACGAGACCUUCGGGUCUAGUGGCGCACGGGUGCGUAACGCGUGGGAACCUGCCCUUAGGUUCGGAAUAACUCCCCGAAAGGGGUGCUAAUACCGGAUAAUGUCUUCGGACCAAAGAUUUAUCGCCUUUGGAUGGGCCCGCGUUGGAUUAGCUAGUUGGUAGGGUAAAAGCCUACCAAGGCGACGAUCCAUAGCUGGUCUGGGAGGAUGAUCCGCCACACUGGGACUGAGACACGGCCCAGACUCCUACGGGAGGCAGCAGUGGGGAAUAUUGGACAAUGGGCGAAAGCCUGAUCCAGCAAUGCCGCGUGAGUGAUGAAGGCCUUAGGGUUGUAAAGCUCUUUUACCCGGGAUGAUAAUGACAGUACCGGGAGAAUAAGCUCCGGCUAACUCCGUG
rnacentral:rRNA from 1 species